rnacentral:rRNA from 1 species
CGGGGCUUAAAGUCUUGUAAUUGGAAUGAUGGGAAUUUAAACCUCUUCCAGAGUAUCAAUUGGAGGGCAAGUCUGGUGCCAGCAGCCGCGGUAAUUCCAGCUCCAAUAGCGUAUAUUAAAAUUGUUGCAGUUAAAAAGCUCGUAGUUGAAUUUCUGCUGCAUUGCUUGUGUCCCUCUGGGGUCUGUGCAUGUGGCUUUCUUCGGACAGAGUUUCUUUGUCUGAAUGUUUACUUUGAGAAAAUUAGAGUGCUCAAAGCAGGCUUUCGCCUUGAAUAGUUUAGCAUGGAAUAAUAAAGUAGGACUUUGGUUCUAUUUUGUUGGUUUUAGGUACCAAAGUAAUGGUUAAUAGGAACAGUUGGGGGCAUUCGUAUUUAACUGUCAGAGGUGAAAUUCUUAGAUUUGUUAAAGACGAACUACUGCGAAAGCAUUUGCCAAGGAUGUUUUCAUUAAUCAAGAAC